rnacentral:rRNA from 1 species
GACGAACGCUGGCGGCGCGCUUAACACAUGCAAGUCGAGCGAGAACCAGUCCUUCGGGACUGGGGACAGCGGCGAACGGGUGAGUAACACGUGGGUAAUCUGCCCUCGGCACCGGAAUAGCCCGGGGAAACCCGGAUUAAUGCCGGAUGGCCUCUCUGCCCCUCGGGGCGGCGAGAAAAGGUAGCUUCGGCCUCCGGCCGAGGAUGAGCCCGCGGCCGAUUAGCUUGUUGGUGGGGUAACGGCUCACCAAGGCGACGAUCGGUAGCUGGUCUGAGAGGACGAUCAGCCACACUGGGACUGAGACACGGCCCAGACUCCUACGGGAGGCAGCAGUGGGGAAUCUUGCGCAAUGGGCGAAAGCCUGACGCAGCGACGCCGCGUGCGGGAAGAAGGCCUUCGGGCUGUAAACCGCUUUCAGGAGGGACGAAGCCACUCGGGUUAAUAGCCUAGAGGGUGACGGUACCUCCAGAAGAAGCCCCGGCUAACUACGUGCCAGCCGCCGCAGUAAAAC